rnacentral:rRNA from 1 species
CAGUAGCCACGGUAAUACGUAGGUGGCAAGCGCUGUCCGGAAUUAUUGGGCGUAAAGGGCUCGCAGGCGGUUUCUUAAGUCUGAUGUGAAAGCCCCCGGCUCAACCGGGGAGGGUCAUUGGAAACUGGGAAACUUGAGUGCAGAAGAGGAGAGUGGAAUUCCACGUGUAGCGGUGAAAUGCGUAGAGAUGUGGAGGAACACCAGUGGCGAAGGCGACUCUCUGGUCUGUAACUGACGCUGAGGAGCGAAAGCGUGGGGAGCGAACAGGAUUAGAUACCCGAGUAGUCCCUGUCUCUUAUAC